rnacentral:lncRNA from 1 species
CUUCGCCUGGAGGUGGGUCCUGGUGGCUCCACUAACCCUUGGAAAACUAUUCCCUUCAGUACCUGCUUCAGGGCAGCGCCUCCAAUCAGGGUCAGUGUCAAGCUUUGCCUCCUGGAGAUUGGAUAGCAAGUCCAGAAAUAUGUUCAUUAGGUCGUCCAGGGGCAGGGUUAGGGAGUGGUCAGUUCUUAAAGGAACAUGCAAUUUUUGUACUUAGUGCAUAGGCGUUUUACCCAGAAUUCACAGCGAGAAGGGGAGGGCCUACUGAAGGGUGUGCUUUUAGAUCUGCGGCUGUCACUAACUAAGGGUCAGGACCAUCCUGUCUGUUAACAGUCAGUGUCCUGUAACGCCAAAUAGCCACAGGAGAGGACAUACAUCUUGAUGUCUGGAAUGUGUACGGUAACCGAGGAGUCGGUAGAGAUAGUCCUGUUCAUACGAGGGAAAUUCUACAGAAGUCAGUGUCUUCUUCUAACAGGGAAAGAGAGUUUGUUCACCGGGGCACAUUCAUGGUUUUAGGGCCGGGGUCCGAGGACUCACUUUAUCCACACCAUUCCGCCUGACUUCCCGAGCAGCAGCAGCGGCUGCCCCUUCGCCACAUCCCCGAUGGAGGCAGCUUUGUGGAUCUUCGCCAGGUCCUUGACCCGGAGGAGGGAUCCUGCUCUGGGGCCCAAAGCUCGGACCCCGCUCUCCCUCCUCGGGGGGAAGGAGGCUCGAGAGGGAGGCAGCUCUCUCUUGCUGCCCACGGUGAAAACCAUUUUCAUUAUGCCAGCGGGCUUCAGAGAGGGUCUGCAGGACUCGCGAGGAGUUCUCCCUUGGCCUCUCAGCUUCUCCGGGCCCUCGCCUACGCUCUAGAAAACUUCCACGGCCGGAAGCUGGAGGUUGAGAGACUCCAGAGCACACAAGUAUAAAAGAUUCAACCCUAGAGAGGCUUGUAGCCCUGGAAAGCCGCGAGGGGGCCUGAACUGAGCAUGCGUCUGUCAGAUCCGCGGGUCCCGCGCAUGGGCCCAAAGCCAAGAUUCCUUUUGAAGAAAGCCUUUGCUCUGGCAGCCAACCUCCAAGGCCCCCAUGUUCUGGCAGCAGCAGCUGCUUCCCCGCAAGCACUGUGGGAGUGCUUUGAGUCCCAAUGGCUGAAGAUCCAUGAGCAGGCCUCAGGGAUAGAUGCUGACCAUUGCUCUGAUUCUGAGUCUUCAGGUGGCUGUGGACACCUCUUGGAGAUGAUACCAGACUCCAGCAAACAGGUAAGUUUCCAGUCAUCACUGCUGUCAUUCAGGAGCCCAGAGGGCUUGUCAGCCAACACCACUGAGGUUUUUUGUCCUGCACUUGGCCUGAGCUGCCCAGUGAGCUGUCCUAAGUGCCACAAG